rnacentral:rRNA from 1 species
UUGUCGCAUCUUAUUCCACGUACACCCAUGGAUGUACGUCCUGUAUCACGGACACAUUCCUCAUUGAAUCUGAUACAGCGAAAUUCCUUGUCGGGUAAGUUCCGACCUGCACGAAUGGCGUAACGACUUCCCCACUGUCUCGACCAGGAGCUCGGCGAAAUUGCAGUACGAGUAAAGAUGCUCGUUAAGCGCAGAAGGACGAAAAGACCCCGGGACCUUUACUAUACCUUGGUAUUGGCGUUAGGCGCGGAUUGUGUAGCAUAGGCGGGAGGCUUCGAAGCAUGGGCGCCAGCCCGUGUGGAGCCGCAAGGUGAAAUACCGCUCUGUUCUCGUUUGACGUCUCACCUCGAACAGUCAUCCUGUUCAGGGACAGUGCCUGGCGGGUAGUUUAACUGGGGCGGUUGCCUCCCAAAGAGUAACGGAGGCGCUCAAAGGUCCGCUCAGCCCGGUUGGCAAUCGGGUUUCGAGUGUAAUCGCACAAGCGGGCUUGACUGCGAGAACGACGGUUCGGGCAGGGACGAAAGUCGGAGAUAGUGAUCCGGUGCCGGCGCACGGGCGCGGCAUCGCUCAACGGAUAAAAGGUACCCCGGGGAUAACAGGCUGAUCAUUCCCAAGAGUCCAUAUCGACGGGAUGGUUUGGCACCUCGAUGUCGGCUCGUCGCAUCCUGGGGCUGGAGCAGGUCCCAAGGGUUCGGCUGUUCGCCGAUUAAAGCGGCACGCGAGCUGGGUUCAGAACGUCGUGAGACAGUUUGGUCUCUAUCCUCUGCGCUCGUUGGAAUCCUGAGGAGGCCUGCCCAUAGUACGAGAGGACCUGGGUGGACGGACCUCUGGUAUGCCGGUUGUCGCGCCAGCGGCAUGGCCGGUUGGCUACGUUCGGGAGGGAUAACCGCUGAAAGCAUCUAAGCGGGAAGCCUGCUCCAAGAUUAGGAUUCCUUGACGCUCCCCGGAGCGUUUGUAGCCCGCAUGUUGAACACGUGUUCGAUAGGCCGGAGGUGGAAGCCCCGCGAGGGGUGGAGCCGACCGGUACUAACGGGCGAACGCGGCACACU